rnacentral:rRNA from 1 species
UACGAAGGGGGCUAGCGUUGCUCGGAAUUACUGGGCGUAAAGGGCGCGUAGGCGGCACUGUUAGUCAGGCGUGAAAGUCCUGGGCUCAACCUGGGAACUGCGCUUGAUACGGCCGAGCUAGAGGAUGGAAGAGGCUCGCGGAAUUCCCAGUGUAGAGGUGAAAUUCGUAGAUAUUGGGAAGAACACCGGUGGCGAAGGCGGCGAGCUGGUCCAUUACUGACGCUGAGGCGCGACAGCGUGGGGAGCAAACAGG